rnacentral:rRNA from 1 species
UACAGGGGGGGCAAGCGUUGUUCGGAAUUACUGGGCGUAAAGGGCUCGUAGGCGGCCGGCUAAGUCCGACGUGAAAUCCCCAGGCUUAACCUGGGAACUGCGUCGGAUACUGGCGGGCUUGAAUCCGGGAGAGGGAUGCGGAAUUCCAGGUGUAGCGGUGAAAUGCGUAGAUAUCUGGAGGAACACCGGUGGCGAAGGCGGCAUCCUGGACCGGUAUUGACGCUGAGGCGCGAAAGCUAGGGGAGCAAACGGG